GGAUUAGACUCUUGCAAUUUCUUUUUCCUUCUCAAAGUCCUCUCAAAAUCACCGUCAAAGUCGAAGAUAUGCUCACGAACAGGUUGUGAGCUACGGGUCAUAAACUAGUACUUAAAAACAAAGAAAACAAAACAAAUCAGCAACUUAAACAGAAACUUAAACAAAAUACAAUAAUUCGAAAGAAAACAAUCCAAGAGAUUAGCAAAGUUGCUAAUCCCCGGCAACGGCGCCAAAAAUUUGAUGUGAAAAAUAAGUUAACACACAAAAUUAAACCCUCUUUUUAUCAAUUGUAGUAAAGUAUGUAAGUAGGGA
rnacentral:lncRNA from 1 species